AUACGUAGGGGGCGAGCGUUGUCCGGAAUGACUGGGCGUAAAGGGCGUGUAGGCGGCUUUAUAAGUCUGGAGUGAAAGUCCUGCUUUCAAGGUGGGAAUUGCUUUGGAGACUGUAGAGCUUGCGUGCGGAAGAGGUAAGUGGAAUUCCCAGUGUAGCGGUGAAAUGCGUAGAGAUUGGGAGGAACACCAGUGGCGAAGGCGACUUACUGGGCCGUAACUGACGCUGAGGCGCGAAAGCGUGGGGAGCGAACAGGAUUAGAUACCCUGGUAGUCCACGCCGUAAACGAUGAAUGCUAGGUGUAGCGGGUAUCGACCCCUGCUGUGCCGCAGUAAACACAAUAAGCAUUCCGCCUGGGGAGUACGGCCGCAAGGUUGAAACUCAAAUGAAUUGGCGGGG
rnacentral:rRNA from 1 species